rnacentral:rRNA from 1 species
CAGCAGCCGCGGUAAUACGAGGGGGGCAAGCGUUGUUCGGAAUUAUUGGGCGUAAAGGGCGCGUAGGCGGUUUGACAAGUCUGAUGUGAAAUCUCUGGGCUCAACCCAGAGUCUGCAUCGGAAACUGUCGAGCUUGAGUAUGGGAGAGGUGAGUGGAAUUUCCGGUGUAGCGGUGAAGUGCGUAGAUAUCGGAAGGAACACCUGUGGCGAAAGCGGCUCACUGGACCAUUACUGACGCUGAGGCGCGAAAGCUAGGGGAGCAAACAGGAUUAGAUACCCCAGUAGUCCCUGUCUCUUAUAC